rnacentral:misc_RNA from 1 species
GAUGAAGAACGUAGCGAAAUGCGAUAAGUAGUGUGAAUUGCAGAAUUCAGUGAAUCAUCGAAUCUUUGAACGCACAUUGCGCCCCUUGGUAUUCCAUGGGGCAUGCCUGUUCGAGCGUCAUUUGUACCCUCAAGCUAUGCUUGGUGUUGGGUGUUUGUCCUCUCCUUUUGCGAUUGGACUCGCCUUAAAGACAUUGGCAGUCAGUGUAUUGGUCUUGAAGCGCAGCACAUUUUGCGAUUCUUGCUGAUAAUCACUAGCGUCCAGUAAGCCUAUUUUAACACUUUUGACCUCGGAUCAGGUAGGGAUACCCGCUGAACUUAAGCAUAUCAAUAAGCGGAGGA